AACCUCCGCAAUGUGAGAAAUCGCGACGGGGGGAUCCCAAGUGCCAUUCUUAACGGGAUGGCUUUUCAUUAGUGUAAAGAGCUUUUGGAAUAAGGGCUGGGCAAGACCGGUGCCAGCCGCCGCGGUAACACCGGCAGCUCUAGUGGUAGCAGUUUUUAUUGGGCCUAAAGCGUCCGUAGCCGGUUUAAUAAGUCUCUGGUGAAAUCCUGUAGCUUAACUGUGGGAAUUGCUGGAGAUACUAUUAGACUUGAGACCGGGAGAGGUUAGAGGUACUCCCAGGGUAGAGGUGAAAUUCUGUAAUCCUGGGAGGACCGCCUGUUGCGAAGGCGUCUAACUGGAACGGUUCUGACGGUGAGGGACGAAAGUUAGGGGCGCGAACCGGAUUUAGAUACCCGGGUAGUCCUAACUGUAAACGAUGCGGACUUGGUGUUGGGGUGGCUUUGAGCUGCUCCAGUGCCGAAGGGAAGCUGUUAAGUCCGCCGCCUGGGAAGUACGGUCGCAAGACUGAAACUUAAAGGAAUU
rnacentral:rRNA from 1 species